AUUGGACGCUGGCGGCAUGCUUUACACAUGCAAGUCGAACGGCAGCGCGGGCUUCGGCCUGGCGGCGAGUGGCGAACGGGUGAGUAAUACAUCGGAACGUGCCCAGUAGUGGGGGAUAGCUCGGCGAAAGCCGGAUUAAUACCGCAUACGACCUGAGGGUGAAAGCGGGGGAUCUUCGGACCUCGCGCUAUUGGAGCGGCCGAUGGCAGAUUAGCUAGUUGGUGGGGUAAAGGCCUACCAAGGCGACGAUCUGUAGCUGGUCUGAGAGGACGACCAGCCACACUGGGACUGAGACACGGCCCAGACUCCUACGGGAGGCAGCAGUGGGGAAUUUUGGACAAAGGGCGAAAGCCUGAUCCAGCAAUGCCGCGUGUGUGAUGAAGGCCUUCGGGUUGUAAAGCACUUUUGGCGGGAACGAAAAGGACUGUGCCAAUACCACGGUUCGAUGACGGUACCCGCAGAAUAAGCACCGGCUAACUACGUG
rnacentral:rRNA from 1 species